UUCGACGUUCCGCUUAAAUGAACGGUGCAAGUUCACUGUAAAUACAUAGUAAAAAGUCCUAUGUAAACAAUAGAGAAUUGACGUUCUGUAGUUUUCUGCUUGCAAUAGAGCCCUGCAUAUAUGACAUAUGGCUGAAGGUGGCUCAAGCAUAAACACGACACGGGAGUCAUCUGUUGAUUCAGAAGUGGUGAAACUUAAGGUGAAGCAGAAGGACUGUGAGUUGACAGUGACACAAACUGAACUGUCGUGGACAAUUAAAGACCAGAAGAAAAAUGGUA